GAUGAACGCUGGCGGCGUGCCUAAUACAUGCAAGUCGAGCGAACGGACGAGAAGCUUGCUUCUCUGAUGUUAGCGUCGGACGGGUGAGUAACACGUGGAUAACCUACCUAUAAGACUGGGAUAACUUCGGGAAACCGGAGCUAAUACCGGAUAAUAUUUUGAACCGCAUGGUUCAAAAGUGAAAGACGGUCUUGCUUUCACUUAUAGAUGGAUCCGCGCUGCAUUAGCUAGUUGGUAAGGUAACGGCUUACCAAGGCAACGAUGCAUAGCCGACCUGAGAGGGUGAUCGGCCACACUGGAACUGAGACACGGUCCAGACUCCUACGGGAGGCAGCAGUAGGGAAUCUUCCGCAAUGGGCGAAAGCCUGACGGAGCAACGCCGCGUGAGUGAUGAAGGUCUUCGGAUCGUAAAACUCUGUUAUUAGGGAAGAACAUAUGUGUAAGUAACUGUGCACAUCUUGACGGUACCUAAUCAGAAAGCCACGGCUAACUACGUG
rnacentral:rRNA from 1 species